UACGAAGGGGGCUAGCGUUGCUCGGAAUGACUGGGCGUAAAGGGCGCGUAGGCGGUUUGUACAGUCAGAUGUGAAAUUCCUGGGCUCAACCUGGGGGCUGCAUUUGAUACGUAUGGACUGGAGUGAGGAAGAGGGUCGUGGAAUUCCCAGUGUAGAGGUGAAAUUCGUAGAUAUUGGGAAGAACACCGGUGGCGAAGGCGGCCUGCUGGGCUAUGGCUGACACUGAGGCGCGACAGCGUGGGGAGCAAACAGG
rnacentral:rRNA from 1 species